rnacentral:rRNA from 1 species
ACUCCUGCGGGAGGCAGCAGUGGGGAAUAUUGCACAAUGGGCGCAAGCCUGAUGCAGCCAUGCCGCGUGUAUGAAGAAGGCCUUCGGGUUGUAAAGUACUUUCAGCGGGGAGGAAGGCGAUAAGGUUAAUAACCUUGUCGAUUGACGUUACCCGCAGAAGAAGCACCGGCUAACUCCGUGCCAGCAGCCGCGGUAAUACGGAGGGUGCAAGCGUUAAUCGGAAUUACUGGGCGUAAAGCGCACGCAGGCGGUCUGUCAAGUCGGAUGUGAAAUCCCCGGGCUCAACCUGGGAACUGCAUUCGAAACUGGCAGGCUAGAGUCUUGUAGAGGGGGGUAGAAUUCCAGGUGUAGCGGUGAAAUGCGUAGAGAUCUGGAGGAAUACCGGUGGCGAAGGCGGCCCCCUGGACAAAGACUGACGCUCAGGUGCGAAAGCGUGGGGAGCAAACAGGAUUAGAAACCCUAGUAGUCCCAUGA